ACGCUGGCGGCGUGCUUAACACAUGCAAGUCGAACGAUGAAGCCUAGCUUGCUAGGUGGAUUAGUGGCGAACGGGUGAGUAAUACGUGAGUAACCUACCUUUAACUCUGGGAUAAGCCCGGGAAACUGGGUCUAAUACCGGAUACGACCAAUCUCCGCAUGGGGUGUUGGUGGAAAGCGUUAUGUAGUGGUUAUAGAUGGGCUCACGGCCUAUCAGCUUGUUGGUGAGGUAACGGCUCACCAAGGCGACGACGGGUAGCCGGCCUGAGAGGGUGACCGGCCACACUGGGACUGAGACACGGCCCAGACUCCUACGGGAGGCAGCAGUGGGGAAUAUUGCACAAUGGGCGCAAGCCUGAUGCAGCGACGCCGCGUGAGGGAUGACGGCCUUCGGGUUGUAAACCUCUGUUAGCAGGGAAGAAGAGAGAUUGACGGUACCUGCAGAGAAAGCGCCGGCUAACUACGUGCCAGCAGCCGCGGUAAUACGUAGGGCGCGAGCGUUGUCCGGAAUUAUUGGGCGUAAAGAGCUUGUAGGCGGUUUGUCGCGUCUGCUGUGAAAGGCCGGAGCUUAACUCCGUGUAUUGCAGUGGGCACGGGCAGACUAGAGUGCAGUAGGGGAGACUGGAAUUCCUGGUGUAGCGGUGGAAUGCGCAGAUAUCAGGAGGAACACCGAUGGCGAAGGCAGGUCUCUGGGCUGUAACUGACGCUGAGAAGCGAAAGCAUGGGGAGCGAACAGGAUUAGAUACCCUGGUAGUCCAUGCCGUAAACGUUGGGCACUAGGUGUGGGGGACAUUCCACGUUUUCCGCGCCGUAGCUAACGCAUUAAGUGCCCCGCCUGGGGAGUACGGCCGCAAGGCUAAAACUCAAAGAAAUUGACGGGGGCCCGCACAAGCGGCGGAGCAUGCGGAUUA
rnacentral:rRNA from 1 species